CACAGUCGAGUUGCAAUUGUUUUGCAUCUUCGCGUCUUUUUUACUUAUCUCUCGGACGAAUUUCGUGUACAAUAAAGUGUCUGGAAUGUUUAAUCAAAUGUUGGGCAAUCGUCUGAACGUAUUAUCUUGGUCUUCACGAACAUGAUUAACGCGUCUCUCAACAAUUCGUAUUCUCAUCUCUUCGCUCGAGAAUUUCCCGCAUCGUGUAAACGCAUGAAGUUAGUCACCGUGACGUUGCCGAAUCUGAAUAGACGUCGAGCUCCUUGUCAGUUCGUGUCGCAAGUUACCGGUGAGUAGUUGAAAUAUUAUCAUUUUACAAUUUGGUAUUUCUUUAUCUCAGGCGAAUUUCGUGUACGAAUGAACGUCAAUAGCGUUAAAUCUUGUGAUGAGCGAUUAAGUUGCUGUAUUAAUCAGUCUGCACGACCGCAUCAACGCAUUUUUCGGUGUCAUAAUCGACGUCUCUCGUUUCGCGUCACGUCGCGUCGCGUCGAACCGCCAUUAGAAAAGAUGGGUUUUUCGAUACUGACACCUCGUAACGUUUGCUCAUUCGGGAAUAUUACAAAUGCUAUCCAGCAUCCGGAGUUGCGUUGAGGAACAUCAAAGGACUACCGCAAUGAACUAAUCAAGACAGCGUUUGCAUCACGAGUACCAUCCAGAGCAUAUAGAUGUAUGGAAAGAAGUGUCGAGAAACCGCCGCAAUGCACUAAUAGAGACUGAUGAUUCCGCUCGUUUCGAAUAUUCGGGUAACAGUUAGUGCUCACAUUUGCUAUGAGUGGCAUUCGGUCACGAACUUCGCGGAAUUUUCUCGUCGUCGUGAAAGUGUCGCGCGUGAGAAAUCGGGAGUGUCGAAUGUAUUUACGGGCGAUCGAUUAGUUUGAUAUAUAGAUGUGAGAGUUCUUAAAUCACAAUGAAACACGUUGACCGCGAUCGAUAUCGGUUGCGUGUCGACAGAUAAUCGUUUGUCACAAAAAUUUCUCCACAAAUACGUGCGUUUCACGUCAUCCGUGAAUUAGCGGAAUCAAAAUUCAUGAGUGCGUCGUAAAUACAAUAUCAAGAAACAAAAAUGGAGAAUUCAGCAUUGGAUUGAUCCGCGAAAGACUGAUCUAUGGUUUAAAGCUGUAUUUAGUUGGAGACGAUCAAUACAACGAUCGGAUAAAAGGAUAAGAAAAGAGGGGACUGCAAGGGGUACGACGUGGGCGCCCCGGUGUGGUUAGUUGCACGAUUGUCCAGAUAAUGUCGUUGAUUGAACAAACAAUAACAUCGUUAAGGCAGACCGGGAGAUCGAUCUCGCCGGUGGGUGGAGAUAGAAAGGUCAGGGUGCGGAGAUCGCGCGCGGGAAAGAAAGCACGGGCGUCGAAUAAAGACGGAGAGGAGAACAGAUGCAGCGGAAAGGGUACUUAGGCAACGAGUGGU